GCCGCAGAUCAACCCUGUGCUAAGGUAGCAUAAUAAUUUGCCCUUUAAUUUAGGGAUAGUAUAAAAGGAUAAACGACUUGAUAUCUUUCUUAAAAAUAAAAUUUCAAUUUCACAUAAAUGUAAAAAGGCAUUUUUACAACAGAAGGACGACAAGACCCUGUCGAACUUUAACUAUCGUUUAAGCUGGGGCGGCUAAUAACUAUAUCUUACAUAAAAACCACUAUACAGACCUGAUAACAAUCAAUUACAAAAACAAGUUACCGCAGGGAUAACAGCGUUAUAAUUUCCAAAAGCACAUAUAAAAGAAAUACUUUACGACCUCGAUGUUGAAUUAAUUAUCCUAAAAUGAGCAAAAACAUUUAAAGAAAGUCUGUUCGACUUUUAAACAAUUACAUGAUUUGAGUUCAGACCGGCGCAAGCCAGGUCAGAUUCUAUCCUCUUCAACUUUAACUUAGUACGAAAGGACCAGUAAAAAAAUU
rnacentral:rRNA from 1 species